rnacentral:rRNA from 1 species
GGACACGCCGCGUGAGCGAAGAAGGUUUUCGGAUCGUAAAGCUCUGUUGCGAGGGAAGAACAAGUACGGGAGUAACUGCCCGUACCUUGACGGUACCUCGUCAGAAAGCCACGGCUAACUACGUGCCAGCAGCCGCGGUAAUACGUAGGUGGCAAGCGUUGUCCGGAAUUAUUGGGCGUAAAGCGCGCGCAGGCGGUCCUUUAAGUCUGAUGUGAAAGCCCACGGCUCAACCGUGGAGGGUCAUUGGAAACUGGAGGACUUGAGUACAGAAGAGGAAAGCGGAAUUCCACGUGUAGCGGUGAAAUGCGUAGAGAUGUGGAGGAACACCAGUGGCGAAGGCGGCUUUCUGGUCUGUAACUGACGCUGANGCGCGAAAGCGUGGGGAGCAAACAGGAUUAGAUACCCUGGUAGUCCACGCCGUAAACNAUGAGUGCUAAGUGUUAGGGGGUUUCCGCCCCUUAGUGCUGCAGCUAACGCGUUAAGCACUCCGCCUGGGGAGUACNGCCGCAAGGCUGA